rnacentral:rRNA from 1 species
UAUACGGCGAAACUGCGAAUGGCUCAUUAUAUAAGUUAUCGUUUAUUUGAUAGCACCUUACUACUUGGAUAACCGUGGUAAUUCUAGAGCUAAUACAUGCUGAAAAUCCCGACUUCGGAAGGGAUGUAUUUAUUAGAUUCAAAACCAAUGCCCUCCGGGCUCACUGGUGAUUCAUGAUAACUCUUCGAAUCGCACGGCCUUGCGCCGGCGAUGGUUCAUUCAAAUUUCUUCCCUAUCAACUUUCGAUGUUUGGGUAGUGGCCAAACAUGGUUGCAACGGGUAACGGAGGGUUAGGGCUCGACCCCGGAGAAGGAGCCUGAGAAACGGCUACUACAUCCAAGGAAGGCAGCAGGCGCGCAAAUUACCCAAUCCCGACACGGGGAGGUAGUGACAAUAAAUACUGAUACAGGGCUCUUUUGGGUCUUGUAAUUGGAAUGAGUACAAUUUAAAUCCCUUAACGAGGAACAAUUGGAGGGCAAGUCUGGUGCCAGCAGCCGCGGUAAUUCCAGCUCCAAUAGCGUAUAUUAAAGUUGUUGUGGUUAAAAAGCUCGUAGUUGAACCUUGGGCCUGGCUGGCCGGUCCGCCUCACCGCGUGUACUGGCCCGGCCGGGCCUUUCCCUCUGUGGAACCCCAUGCCCUUCACUGGGUGUGGCGGGGAAACAGGACUUUUACUUUGAAAAAAUUAGAGUGCUCCAGGCAGGCCUAUGCUCGAAUACAUUAGCAUGGAAUAAUGAAAUAGGACGCGCGGUUCUAUUUUGUUGGUUUCUAGGACCGCCGUAAUGAUUAAUAGGGACAGUCGGGGGCAUCAGUAUUCAAUUGUCAGAGGUGAAAUUCUUGGAUUUAUUGAAGACUAACUACUGCGAAAGCAUUUGCCAAGGAUGUUUUCAUUAAUCAGGAACGAAAGUUAGGGGAUCGAAGACGAUCAGAUACCGUCGUAGUCUUAACCAUAAACUAUGCCGACUAGGGAUCGGACGAUGUUAUUUUUUGACUC